GCGGGCAUGGGCAAGCGGACGAAGCCGCUGACGCUCAUCGCGCCGCUGCCCGUGUGGGAGUGGUUCGAAACCACGCGCCGGUU
rnacentral:tRNA from 1 species